AGCACACGUCCUUAAAAGAAACGGCUCCGGCCGGAGGUUGAAAAGCGGGCGCAAUUCCCGACGUGUGCA
ncrna:Blautia hydrogenotrophica DSM 10507 RAGATH-21 RNA